rnacentral:lncRNA from 1 species
GCCUUGCAGUCUGGAAAGGCAGCGGGCCAGCUCCACUGCGGGUACUUUAACUCCUGCUCGGAGCUCCAGCGCUGAGCGUCCUCAGAUCAAGGAGACAUUCAAUAUCUUAUUCACCUGAGAGGCAGUUUCUGGAAGGUGCGGAAGCUCUGAAAAGCCAACAGUGACUCCUGGCUUCGCUAGUUUCCCUUAAGAAUCAACUGACCAUCACGAUUUUAUCUAAACGAUGUGACCCGUUUACGUUCCAAACUGCAUCACUUCUUCAGUGCAUAAGAGCUGUCAAUGGUGCCCAUUGCUUAAGAUGUAAGGUUCAGGCCCCUGAGCUAGGCAUAUAAGGUGCUUCAUAAUUAUUUUUUAUUCACUUAUUUGUGGUUACAUUUCUUAAGAGCAGCGUUUCUCAACGUCUACCACACGUGAGAAUCACCUGGGGAGCUUUGUAAAAAUACGAGUUCUUAUGUCCCACCCUAGAUCUCAGAAUUUUGGAGGGGCAGGGCAGACUUCUAUGUUUUUAAAGCUACCCUGGGUAAUUUUCACGUGCAACCCGGUUUAACAACUGUUGGUUUACUGCCUAUCAACACAGCCUCAUGCAUGUGAGCCUUUGCUUUGUGGCAUCCUUGUUUUAAAGAGGUCUUCUUCCCUCUCUCUUGCCUGAUCAAUGCUCAUCCUACAAGGCCAAGCUCAACUGUUAUCCCUUCUCUUCCCUGUCCUCCAGCAGGUGAUGGCUUCCUUUAGCACGUUAUUCACGCUGCUUCUCCAGCAUCACUGGUGUGACCUGGUGACUUGUCUGUCUCCCUGGAUAAGUAGGGAGUUCCUUGAGGGCAGACAAAGUGUCUUCCUUCACCCACCUCAGAUCCACUGAGUCAGAAUCUCAAGGGGCAGGUCUCAGGCAUAAAUGAUUUUUAAAGUCCCACUGGUGAUUCUGAUCCAUGUCCUUAUCUAGGAACUCGCUUCACAAAAGCAC